GAUGAAGAACGUAGUGAAAUGCGAUAAGUAAUGCGAAUUGCAGAAUUUCCGUGAGUCAUCGAAUCUUUGAACGCACAUUGCGCCCUUUGGUAUUCCUUAGGGCAUGCCUGUUCGAGCGUCAUAUAAUUACUCAAGCAAAGCUUGGUUAUGGGUGCCUGUCCCCGCCCCGUGCGUGGACUCACCUCAAAUCCAUUGGCGGCCCCCCGCCGGCCACGAGCGCAGCAGAAACGCGGUCUCGUGCCCCGGUAGGGCGGCUCCCAGAAGCAAACCCCCCAUUUUUGACCUCGGAUCAGGUAGGGAUACCCGCUGAACUUAAGCAUAUCAAUAAGCGGAGGA
rnacentral:misc_RNA from 1 species